rnacentral:rRNA from 1 species
UGGCGCACGGGUGAGUAACGCGUGGAUAAUCUACCCUUAAGAUGGGGAUAACGGCUGGAAACGGUCGCUAAUACCGAAUACGCUCCCGAUUUUAUCGUUGGGGGGAAAGAUGGCCUCUGCUUGCAAGCUAUCGCUUAAGGAUGAGUCCGCGUCCCAUUAGCUAGUUGGCGGGGUAACGGCCCACCAAGGCGACGAUGGGUAGCCGGUCUGAGAGGAUGACCGGCCACACUGGAACUGGAACACGGUCCAGACUCCUACGGGAGGCAGCAGUGGGGAAUAUUGCGCAAUGGGCGAAAGCCUGACGCAGCGACGCCGCGUGAGGGAUGAAGGUUCUCGGAUCGUAAACCUCUGUCAGGGGGGAAGAAACCCCCUCGUGUGAAUAAUGCGAGGGCUUGACGGUACCCCCAAAGGAAGCACCGGCUAACUCCGUGCCAGCAGCCGCGGUAAUACGGAGGGUGCAAGCGUUAAUCGGAAUCACUGGGCGUAAAGCGCACGUAGGCGGCUUGGUAAGUCAGGGGUGAAAUCCCACAGCCCAACUGUGGAACUGCCUUUGAUACUGCCAGGCUUGAGUACCGGAGAGGGUGGCGGAAUUCCAGGUGUAGGAGUGAAAUCCGUAGAUAUCUGGAGGAACACCGGUGGCGAAGGCGGCCACC